rnacentral:rRNA from 1 species
AUGUUGGGGCAUAUGAACGGUACAUGUAUUGUCCAAAUCAGGCACUCUUUGAAUGGUCAAGUAAGAAACGCACUCUUUCUCUCAACAAGAGAAAAGGAAAACAUUCAUAGGUAUUUGGUCUUUGCAUGGUUAGCUGCUCACAGUAAGAUUUUGACCAGAGACAAUCUUGGUGAAAGACAAAAUGUAGUGGAUGCUUCCUGUUUAUUUUGUAGUGAUACGGAGGCGGUUGAUCAUUUGCUACGUAGCUGUGUUGUGGCGAGAAACAUUUCGGUAACUAUAGCUGAGGUGUUUGAUUCCUGA